rnacentral:rRNA from 1 species
UACGUAGGGGGGCAAGCGUUUGUCCGGAAUCAUUGGGCGUAAAGCGCGUGUAGGCGGCCCGGUAAGUCCGCUGUGAAAAGUCCAGGGCUCAACCCUGGGAUGCCGGUGGAUACUGUCGGGCUCGAGUCCGGAAGAGGCGAGUGGAAUUCCUGGUGUAGCGGUGAAAUGCGCAGAUAUCAGGAGGAACACCGAUGGCGAAGGCAGCUCGCUGGGACGUGAACUGACGCUGGAGGAGCGAAAGCGUGGGGAGCGAACGGA